UACGGGGGGAGCAAGCGUUGUUCGGAUUUACUGGGCGUAAAGGGCGCGUAGGCGGCCACCGCAAGUCGACUGUGAAAUCUCCGGGCUUAACCCGGAAAGGUCAGCCGAUACUGCGGGGCUAGAGUGCAGAAGGGGCAACUGGAAUUCUCGGUGUAGCGGUGAAAUGCGUAGAUAUCGAGAGGAACACCUGCGGCGAAGGCGGGUUGUUGGGCUGACACUGACGCUGAUGCGCGAAAGCUAGGGGAGCGAACGGG
rnacentral:rRNA from 1 species